CUCAGGGAUUGGUGGCAGCAAAUGAACAAUUUUGAAAACAAAGAACAAAGCGAAAGAGAGGGCCUUGUUGAUGAUAUGAAAUCUAUUCUCCCUUCAAUGCUGAGCAACGUCAAUGAAGCAAUUGCAGCGUUUGAGAAUGGCAGAUUAGACAACCUACAGAACUUAGAAUUAGU